UACGUAGGAUGCUAGCGUUGUCCGGAUUACUGGGCGUAAAGCGCGCGCAGGCGGCACUGUAAGUAAGGUGUGAAAUAUCCCUGCUCAACGGGGAGGGUGCACUUUAGACUGCAGAGCUAGAGGACGGUAGAGGGGUGGAAUUGCUGGUGUAGCGGUGAAAUGCGUAGAGAUCAGCAGGAACACCGUGGCGAAGGCGGCCCCUGGGCCGAACCUGACGCUGAGGCGCGAAGGCUAGGGGAGCGAACGGG
rnacentral:rRNA from 1 species